rnacentral:rRNA from 1 species
AGUGGCGAACGGGUGAGUAACACGUGGGCAAUCUGCCCUGCACUCUGGGACAAGCCCUGGAAACGGGGUCUAAUACCGGAUAUGACCACCGGCCGCAUGGUCUGGUGGUGGAAAGCUCCGGCGGUGCAGGAUGAGCCCGCGGCCUAUCAGCUUGUUGGUGGGGUGAUGGCCUACCAAGGCGACGACGGGUAGCCGGCCUGAGAGGGCGACCGGCCACACUGGGACUGAGACACGGCCCAGACUCCUACGGGAGGCAGCAGUGGGGAAUAUUGCACAAUGGGCGCAAGCCUGAUGCAGCGACGCCGCGUGAGGGAUGACGGCCUUCGGGUUGUAAACCUCUUUCAGCAGGGAAGAAGCGCAAGUGACGGUACCUGCAGAAGAAGCACCGGCUAACUACGUGCCAGCAGCCGCGGUAAUACGUAGGGUGCGAGCGUUGUCCGGAAUUAUUGGGCGUAAAGAGCUCGUAGGCGGCUUGUCGCGUCGGAUGUGAAAGCCCGGGGCUUAACCCCGGGUCUGCAUUCGAUACGGGCAGGCUGGAGUUCGGCAGGGGAGAUUGGAAUUCCUGGUGUAGCGGUGAAAUGCGCAGAUAUCAGGAGGAACACCGGUGGCGAAGGCGGAUCUCUGGGCCGAUACUGACGCUGAGGAGCGAAAGCGUGGGGAGCGAACAGGAUUAGAUACCCUGGUAGUCCACGCCGUAAACGUUGGGCACUAGGUGUGGGCGGCAUUCCACGUCGUCCGUGCCGCAGCUAACGCAUUAAGUGCCCCGCCUGGGGAGUACGGCCGCAAGGCUAACACUCAAAGGAAUUGACGGGGGCGCGCACAAGCGGCGGAGCAUGUGGCUUAAUUCGACGCAACGCGAAGAACCUUACCAAGGCUUGACAUACACCGGAAACGGCCAGAGAUGGUCGCCCCCUUUG